rnacentral:rRNA from 1 species
GACGAACGCUGGCGGCGUGCUCAACACAUGCAAGUCGAACGAUGAACCCGGAGCUUGCUCCGGUGGAUUAGUGGCGAACGGGUGAGUAACACGUGAGUAACCUGCCCUUGACUCUGGGAUAACUGCGGGAAACUGUAGCUAAUACCGGAUACGACCCUCGGCGGCAUCGCCAGGGGGUGGAAAGAAUUUCGGUCAAGGAUGGACUCGCGGCCUAUCAGCUAGGUGGUGAGGUAACGGCUCACCAAGGCGACGACGGGGAGCCGGCCUGAGGGGGUGACCGGCGACACUGGGACUGCGACACGGCCCAGACUCCUACGGGGGGAAGCAGUGGGGAAUAUUGCGCAAUGGGCGCAAGCCUGAUGCAGCAACGCCGCGUGAGGGAUGACGGCCUUCGGGUUGUAAACCUCUUUUAGUAGGGAAGAAGCGAAAGUGACGGUACCUGAAGAAUAAGCACCGGCUAACUACGUGCCAGCCGCCGCCGUAA